ANUGCAGUCGAACGAACUCUGGUAUUGAUUGGUGCUUGCAUCAUGAUUUACAUUUGAGUGAGUGGCGAACUGGUGAGUAACACGUGGGAAACCUGCCCAGAAGCGGGGGAUAACACCUGGAAACAGAUGCUAAUACCGCAUAACAACUUGGACCGCAUGGUCCGAGYUUGAAAGAUGGCUUCGGCUAUCACUUUUGGAUGGUCCCGCGGCGUAUUAGCUAGAUGGUGGGGUAACGGCUCACCAUGGCAAUGAUACGUAGCCGACCUGAGAGGGUAAUCGGCCACAUUGGGACUGAGACACGGCCCAAACUCCUACGGGAGGCAGCAGUAGGGAAUCUUCCACAAUGGACGAAAGUCUGAUGGAGCAACGCCGCGUGAGUGAAGAAGGGUUUCGGCUCGUAAAACUCUGUUGUUAAAGAAGAACAUAUCUGAGAGUAACUGUUCAGGUAUUGACGGUAUUUAACCAGAAAGCCACGGCUAACUACGUGCCAGCAGCCGCGGUAAUACGUAGGUGGCAAGCGUUGUCCGGAUUUAUUGGGCGUAAAGCGAGCGCAGGCGGUUUUUUAAGUCUGAUGUGAAAGCCUUCGGCUCAACCGAAGAAGUGCAUCGGAAACUGGGAAACUUGAGUGCAGAAGAGGACAGUGGAACUCCAUGUGUAGCGGUGAAAUGCGUAGAUAUAUGGAAGAACACCAGUGGCGAAGGCGGCUGUCUGGUCUGUAACUGACGCUGAGGCUCGAAAGUAUGGGUAGCAAACAGGAUUAGAUACCCUGGUAGUCCAUACCGUAAACGAUGAAUGCUAAGUGUUGGAGGGUUUCCGCCCUUCAGUGCUGCAGCUAACGCAUUAAGCAUUCCGCCUGGGGAGUACGGCCGCAAGGCUGAAACUCAAAGGAAUUGACGGGGGCCCGCACAAGCGGUGGAGCAUGUGGUUUAAUUCGAAGCUACGCGAAGAACCUUACCAGGUCUUGACAUACUAUGCAAAUCUAAGAGAUUAGACGUUCCCUUCGGGGACAUGGAUACAGGUGGUGCAUGGUUGUCGUCAGCUCUUGUCGUGAGAUGUUGGGUUAAGUCCCGCAACGAGCGCAACCCUUAUUACAGUUGCCAGCAUUA
rnacentral:rRNA from 1 species